rnacentral:rRNA from 1 species
GAGUUUGAUCAUGGCUCAGGAUGAACGCUAGCGGCAGGCCUAAUACAUGCAAGUCGAACGGGAAUAGGGAGCUUGCUCCCUAUGAGAGUGGCGCACGGGUGCGUAACGCGUAUGCAACCUACCUUUAACAGGGGGAUAGCUCACCGAAAGGUGAAUUAAUACCGCAUAAUAUUAUUGAGGGGCAUUCCUUGAUAAUCAAAACUCCGGUGGUUAAAGAUGGGGCAUGCGUGUCAUUAGCUAGUUGUGAGGUAACGCUCACCAAGGCAACGAUGACUAGGGGAUCUGAGA